AGCCGGGGGGAGGGGCCGGGGCGGUGGCGGCGGCGGCGGCGGCGGCGGCGGCGGUGGCGGCGGGGGCCGGUACUGGACCCGGCGGGAUGAGCGAGGUGGAGGCGGCAGCGGUGGCUACAGCGGUCCCCGCGGCGACGGUGCCCGCGACGGCGGCAGGGGUGGUAGCGGUGGUGGUACCGGUGCCCGCAGGGGAGCCGCAGAAAGCAGGCGGCGGGGCGGGCGGCGGGGGCGGAGCCGCCUCGGGCCCCGCUGCUGGGACUCCCUCGGCGCCGGGCCCCCGCACCCCUGGCAACCCGGCGACGGCGGCCUCGGGAACCCCCGCCCCCCCGGCCCGGAGUCAGGCGGACAAGCCGGUGCUGGCAAUCCAAGUCCUGGGCACUGUCAAAUGGUUCAACGUCCGGAAUGGUUACGGAUUCAUCAACAGGUAUCCAAGGAACCCAGGGCGGGGGUGGAAUGGGUGUCUUCCGAACUGGCCUGUGGGACUGGACACCCGCCCAACCUCAUCUCAACCCCUGCGGAGGCACAUGGUUGCAAUGUCCAGCUGAUGCUGGUUGAAAGCCUUUAACCGCAGCACAAAUGUGUGCUUAGUGACAAGAGGAAGCCUCCUCCACAUCUUCAAGGGCAGCGGAGGAUUAAUGAUUCAGGAACUUGGCAAACCUGGCUCUGACCCUGCCAGCUUCUCAUCUCACCUUCUGGAAUUGCUUCAUUACUUUUACUCUGAGAUGCCUUUGGGGCAGAAUGUAUUAUAGGGUUCUCUGUGCCUCAGGGCCCCCGGCUGGAAUCCUCACCGAUUUCCUGUUACGGCAGCACUCACAACUCAACUCC
rnacentral:sRNA from 1 species